rnacentral:misc_RNA from 1 species
UACCAACACAUGUGCUUCCCCUUUAACAAGUUUCUCCUUGAACUCUCUACUGUUUAUUCUGGAAUCUGCUGGAAGCAGGUUCAAUUUCAAUGGAGCCGUUGCCAAAGGAGACUGUGUGAAGUUCUCAUAAUCAAAAUCUUUAAAUUGCUUUUGGGUGAACACUAAAUUUUCUCCACAAACUUCACAUUGUAAUGACCUGCCUCUAAUUUUGACAAUACGAAUUCGUGCUGACAAUGCAUCAAAUAGAAGCAUCCGUCCUGACAGUGGUUCACCUACAGCACUUGCAAUUUUAAUGGCCUCAAGUGCUUGGAGACAACCAAUGAUACCAGGCACAACUCCAAGAACUCCAUUGUCAGCACAUCUUUGGCAUGCCGUUGUAGGAGGUGGGGUUGGAAAAAGGCAUCGAUAGCAUGGACCUCCUUUGUAAUUGUAGACAGUGAGCUGCCCUUCCAACCCCAAUGCAGCACCUGAUACAAGGGGCUUCCUCAACAGCACACAACAAUCACUGAUCAUGUAACGGCUUGGAGCAUUAUCUGUUGCAUCUACAAUUAUGUCGUAU